rnacentral:siRNA from 1 species
UACGUACCUCAGGUUCCACAU